AAAUUUCCUCUAGGUAUGAAUUCUUGUAGGUUGUUGAUGGCAGUUGAAAGACUGAUAUUUCUUGACAGUAAGCAUGUAUCAUCUGCAAACAUCACAAUAUUGAUGUUAUCUUGUAUGUGAGUAGGAAUAUCAUCUAAUAUAUCACUGCAGGAAAAUGAGAACAAUGUUGGACUGAGAACUGCUCCUUGAGGUACACCUUGCAAUAUUUUUCUCACUGUUGAAUACGAUUGGUUAAUUUGGACAAUGAAGGAACGGUUGUGAACAAAUUUAAAUUGCCAGUGUUGCAAGAUUGCAUUCUUCCAGUGGUUUUGAAGAUCAUAACACAGAAUUAUUUCUUUGGUGAUCAACAUUUCUGUUGCUUGUUUGGCCAGUUCAUCAGCCAGUGCCCUUUUAUCGACUAUCCAAAUUGAUUUUUACAAUUACGAGUGAUGUGUACAUACCUAAUUGACGAAGAGGAUGUGUGAAACGGAGCUCAUCCCUCUAGUUGAUUGCCCCAAAACAAAACUGUAAAUCCCAAAAGAUCCUCUUGAUUUCUUAUGAAUUUUUUCCCAAAAAAAUGUGGAAGAGAGAAAUAGUAAUGAAAGUGAACAAAAAUAAAAUUUCAUCUGAGAGUUCA